GUUCUCGGGCUGGAAAAGGAUUGUUUUGUCUGAGUGCACUGUGAAGAGAACUUGCUGACACUCUGUAUGAAGUUCAGAGUUACAGACUGAUGCAGUGCAGAAUCUGGAAAAUACGAAAGCUAAAACUUCAGGCACAAGCCUGUCCCACGUUCCCUUGGUUCCAUGGGGACCCACAGUGUCACAAUGGCUCCUCGGUGACACUCUGGGCUGCACAGUGUCACCCUGGGCCCUCGGUUCCAUGGGAGUUUCACAAUGGUCUCCUCUGGUUCCACGAGGUCCCCAGAGUGUCACAACUGACCCAUGGUUCCAUGAGGUUCCCCAGUGUCACCGUGGUCGCUGUCAGAGGCUGGAUGAGAUCGAUGUCCCGAGACACCUUGGGUUGAGCUGUCAAUCAGUCACACAGCUGGGACAGUGCUAACCCAGCUCUGAACGCCCGAGCAAUCACAAGCCCCAGCUGGGGGGAGGCCCACGAAGGCCCAGGGGCUUAAAACCAAGGAGCACAAGGUCAGCCCCUGCUAUGGACUCUGCCUUCCCCUGGGGUUUGUGUCUCAGCCACACUGGAACCCCAGGAGCUGGGAGCCACAGGUGUGUCUUUCUAUGGAGCUUCUGUCUUUCUGUAUCUCUCUCUCUUUCCUCUCCUUCUAAUGCUCUUUCUAUGGAACAUUUUUGGGUACCUGAACAACUGAAGUGUUUAAGGCUUUCCAGGCUAAAUGGGCUGAGUGAAUGAAGUUACUGCUAUGACAAGUGUUUUACGUUGGAUUGGAUGUUGUAUUAAAUGCUUUUCCAAAGUUU